rnacentral:rRNA from 1 species
UAGGGAAUCUUCCGCAAUGGACGAAAGUCUGACGGAGCAACGCCGCGUGAGUGAUGAAGGUUUUCGGAUCGUAAAACUCUGUUGUUAGGGAAGAACAAGUUGGGUAGUAACUGACCCAACCUUGACGGUACCUAACCAGAAAGCCACGGCUAACUACGUGCUAGCAGCCGCGGUAAUACGUAGGUGGCAAGCGUUGUCCGGAAUUAUUGGGCGUAAAGCGCUCGCAGGCGGUCUUUUAAGUCUGAUGUGAAAGCCCACGGCUUAACCGUGGAGGGUCAUUGGAAACUGGGGGACUUGAGUACAGAAGAGGAGAGUGGAAUUCCACGUGUAGCGGUGAAAUGCGUAGAGAUGUGGAGGAACACCAGUGGCGAAGGCGAGUCUCUGGUCUGUAACUGACGCUGAGGAGCGAAGGCGUGGGUAGCGAACAGG